rnacentral:rRNA from 1 species
UGGGGAAUUUUGGACAAUGGGCGAAAGCCUGAUCCAGCAAUGCCGCGUGUGUGAAGAAGGCCUUCGGGUUGUAAAGCACUUUUGUCCGGAAAGAAAUCCUUGGCUCUAAUACAGUCGGGGGAUGACGGUACCGGAAGAAUAAGCACCGGCUAACUACGUGCCAGCAGCCGCGGUAAUACGUAGGGUGCAAGCGUUAAUCGGAAUUACUGGGCGUAAAGCGUGCGCAGGCGGUUUGCUAAGACCGAUGUGAAAUCCCCGGGCUCAACCUGGGAACUGCAUUGGUGACUGGCAGGCUAGAGUAUGGCAGAGGGGGGUAGAAUUCCACGUGUAGCAGUGAAAUGCGUAGAGAUGUGGAGGAAUACCGAUGGCGAAGGCAGCCCCCUGGGCCAAUACUGACGCUCAUGCACGAAAAGCGUGGGGAGCAAAACAGGAUUAGAUACCCUGGUAGUCCACGCCCUAAAACGAUGUCAACUAGUUGUUGGGGAUUCAUUUCCUUAGUAACGUACUAACGCGUGAAGUUGACCGCCUGGGGAGUACGGUCG